AAGGAUUCAAAGGUCGAACAGACCUAAACCUUGAACUUCUACACCCAAGAAUAACCCUUAGUCCAACAUCGAGGUCGCAACCCUUUUUGUCGAUUAGAACUCUCAAAAAAGAUUACG
rnacentral:rRNA from 1 species